GACAGAGGUCCCGAGCGUUAGGCGGAAUCACUGGGCUUAAAGCGUGUGUAGGCGGAUGCCUAAGUACCUUGUGAAAUCCCACGGCUCACCCGUGGAACUGCUUGGUAUACUGGGUGUCUUGAGCCACUUAGGGGCUACCGGAACAAAUGGUGGAGCGGUGAAAUGCGUAGAUAUCAUUUGGAACGCCAAUGGUGAAAACAGGUAGCUGGGAGUGUGCUGACGCUGAGACACGAAAGCGUGGGGAGCAAACAGG
rnacentral:rRNA from 1 species